rnacentral:rRNA from 2 species
UUAAGCGACUAAGCGUACACGGUGGAUGCCCUGGCAGUCAGAGGCGAUGAAGGACGUGCUAAUCUGCGAUAAGCGUCGGUAAGGUGAUAUGAACCGUUAUAACCGGCGAUUUCCGAAUGGGGAAACCCAGUGUGUUUCGACACACUAUCAUUACGUGAAUACAUAGCGUAAUGAAGCGAACCGGGGGAACUGAAACAUCUAAGUACCCCGAGGAAAAGAAAUCAACCGAGAUUCCCCCAGUAGCGGCGAGCGAACGGGGAGCAGCCCAGAGUCUGAAUCAGCUUGUGUGUUAGUGGAACGGUCUGGAAAGUCCGACGGUACAGGGUGAUAGUCCCGUACACCAAAAUGCACAGGUUGUGAACUCGAAGAGUAGGGCGGGACACGUGGUAUCCUGUCUGAAUAUGGGGGGACCAUCCUCCAAGGCUAAAUACUCCUGACUGACCGAUAGUGAACCAGUACCGUGAGGGAAAGGCGAAAAGAACCCCGGCGAGGGGAGUGAAAAAGAACCUGAAACCGUGUACGUACAAGCAGUGGGAGCCUACUUGUUAGGUGACUGCGUACCUUUUGUAUAAUGGGUCAGCGACUUAUAUUCUGUAGCAAGGUUAACCGUAUAGGGGAGCCGAAGGGAAACCGAGUCUUAACUGGGCGUUAAGUUGCAGGGUAUAGACCCGAAACCCGGUGAUCUAGCCAUGGGCAGGUUGAAGGUUGGGUAACACUAACUGGAGGACCGAACCGACUAAUGUUGAAAAAUUAGCGGAUGACUUGUGGCUGGGGGUGAAAGGCCAAUCAAACCGGGAGAUAGCUGGUUCUCCCCGAAAGCUAUUUAGGUAGCGCCUCGUGAAUUCAUCUUCGGGGGUAGAGCACUGUUUCGGCUAGGGGGUCAUCCCGACUUACCAACCCGAUGCAAACUGCGAAUACCGAAGAAUGUUAUCACGGGAGACACACGGCGGGUGCUAACGUCCGUCGUGAAGAGGGAAACAACCCAGACCGCCAGCUAAGGUCCCAAAGUCAUGGUUAAGUGGGAAACGAUGUGGGAAGGCACAGACAGCCAGGAUGUUGGCUUAGAAGCAGCCAUCAUUUAAAGAAAGCGUAAUAGCUCACUGGUCGAGUCGGCCUGCGCGGAAGAUGUAACGGGGCUAAACCAUGCACCGAAGCUGCGGCAGCGACACUAUGUGUUGUUGGGUAGGGGAGCGUUCUGUAAGCCGUUGAAGGUGUGCUGUGAGGCAUGCUGGAGGUAUCAGAAGUGCGAAUGCUGACAUAAGUAACGAUAAUGCGGGUGAAAAACCCGCACGCCGGAAGACCAAGGGUUCCUGUCCAACGUUAAUCGGGGCAGGGUGAGUCGACCCCUAAGGCGAGGCCGAAAGGCGUAGUCGAUGGGAAACAGGUUAAUAUUCCUGUACUUGGUGUUACUGCGAAGGGGGGACGGAGAAGGCUAUGUUAGCCGGGCGACGGUUGUCCCGGUUUAAGCAUGUAGGCGGAGGUUCCAGGUAAAUCCGGUACCUUUUAACGCUGAGGUGUGAUGACGAGGCACUACGGUGCUGAAGUAACAAAUGCCCUGCUUCCAGGAAAAGCCUCUAAGCAUCAGGUAACACGAAAUCGUACCCCAAACCGACACAGGUGGUCAGGUAGAGAAUACCAAGGCGCUUGAGAGAACUCGGGUGAAGGAACUAGGCAAAAUGGUGCCGUAACUUCGGGAGAAGGCACGCUGAUAUGUAGGUGAAGCGGUUUACCCGUGGAGCUGAAAUCAGUCGAAGAUACCAGCUGGCUGCAACUGUUUAUUAAAAACACAGCACUGUGCAAACACGAAAGUGGACGUAUACGGUGUGACGCCUGCCCGGUGCCGGAAGGUUAAUUGAUGGGGUUAUCCGUAAGGAGAAGCUCUUGAUCGAAGCCCCGGUAAACGGCGGCCGUAACUAUAACGGUCCUAAGGUAGCGAAAUUCCUUGUCGGGUAAGUUCCGACCUGCACGAAUGGCGUAAUGAUGGCCAGGCUGUCUCCACCCGAGACUCAGUGAAAUUGAACUCGCUGUGAAGAUGCAGUGUACCCGCGGCAAGACGGAAAGACCCCGUGAACCUUUACUAUAGCUUGACACUGAACACUGGUCCUUGAUGUGUAGGAUAGGUGGGAGGCUUUGAAGUGUGGACGCCAGUCUGCAUGGAGCCAUCCUUGAAAUACCACCCUUUAAUGGCUGGUGUUCUAACGUGGACCCGUUACCCGGGUUGCGGACAGUGUCUGGUGGGUAGUUUGACUGGGGCGGUCUCCUCCUAAAGAGUAACGGAGGAGCACGAAGGUUAGCUAAUCCUGGUCGGACAUCAGGAGGUUAGUGCAAAGGCAUAAGCUAGCUUGACUGCGAGAGUGACGGCUCGAGCAGGUGCGAAAGCAGGUCUUAGUGAUCCGGUGGUUCUGAAUGGAAGGGCCAUCGCUCAACGGAUAAAAGGUACUCCGGGGAUAACAGGCUGAUACCGCCCAAGAGUUCAUAUCGACGGCGGUGUUUGGCACCUCGAUGUCGGCUCAUCACAUCCUGGGGCUGAAGUAGGUCCCAAGGGUAUGGCUGUUCGCCAUUUAAAGUGGUACGCGAGCUGGGUUUAGAACGUCGUGAGACAGUUCGGUCCCUAUCUGCCGUGGGCGCUGGAGAAUUGAGGGGGGCUGCUCCUAGUACGAGAGGACCGGAGUGGACGCAUCACUGGUGUUCGGGUUGUCAUGCCAAUGGCAUUGCCCGGUAGCUAAAUGCGGAAGAGAUAAGUGCUGAAAGCAUCUAAGCACGAAACUUGCCCCGAGAUGAGUUCUCCCUGACUCCUUGAGAGUCCUGAAGGAACGUUAAAGACGAUGACGUUGAUAGGUCGGGUGUGUAAGCGUAGCGAUACGUUGAGCUAACCGAUACUAAUGAACCGUGAGGCUUAACCUU